UACGUAGGUGGCAAGCGUUGUCCGGAUUUAUUGGGUUUAAAGGGUGCGUAGGCGGCCCUGUAAGUCAGUGCUGAAAUACCCCGGCUUAACCGGGGGGUGGCAUUGAUACUGCAGGGCUUGAGUACAGAUGAGGUAGGCGGAAUUGACGGUGUAGCGGUGAAAUGCGCAGAUAUCGGGAGGAACACCAAUGGCGAAGGCGGCUCUCUGGGCCUUACCUGACGCUGAGGUGCGAAAGCGUGGGGAGCAAACAGG
rnacentral:rRNA from 1 species